UCACUAACAGCUGCAAUUUGUUUCUGUACUGCUGCUCAUUUGCCUACCUGUGCUGAAAGAGAGGAAAAGCAAUGGAGAGCACAGGGUAGGAUCUGUGUGUGCCAGGCUGUGAUUGCAGGGGAGAACUCUGAGUGUGGGGAACCUGCCAGGAGCCCAAAAACUGAUCUUUGGGAGAGGAUGCUGCAGAGCUGGGAAGGCUUGCACACUCCUGGAAACCCAUGGAAGUACAAGGCCAAAUUAUGCCAGGGAUGUUGACUGCCACAAGCCACUGGCUAAAAUCAUGGGAUUCCCUCUUCCAUGGGGUAAAACACAUGUCAAAGCAAAGGGCACAGCAGUGCCAGACCUGCUCAUAAUGGAUGCUGUAAAUGUGAAAAUAAUGGAUUUUUAAGGAGAGCAUCCUCCAGCCAAGGAUCUCAGCACACUUCCUAUUUAUUAUUAAAGCCUUUCAACAUUCCUGCAGAGUGAACUUGACAUCAUUUAAGAGAUGGAAAAGCUGGAACACAGAGAGGAAAAUUGAGAAAAACAUGCAGAUUUGUACUUGUACUGGGGAAAGAAAACCAACCCUGCUAUGUACGUUUGAAAGUUCUCAGGCUUGACAAGAGUAAUGAAGUUGUUUAGCCAAAUUUGAUCAUCACAGAAGUGCCCAAAGAUGAUACUGCCUGACACAGUCAAUAGCAAUCCCCAAGCAGCAAGGAGAAUAUUACAUUUUUUUUUGUUUUCUUAACACCAAAUGUACCUGCAAUUAUCCAUGGCAUGUGCUUAUAUUUACUCUACACCAAUUCAUACAAGUUUGAUUUCCCUAAUAGCCAAAUUUCAACAAAGCCUUGUCAAAGGUGACUUGUGCCAGCUCUCUGUUCUAGCCUUGGAGUGUGUUUGCUGUGUUUAAUUGGCCUUCAGUAGCUCCUGCCUCCUGUCAACAAUAAUUCACAAUUGGCUGAGUGACCUGAAAGAGCUCCCUAUUUUCAGGACAAUGUUGUUUUUAGUGGAGUCACCAGCAGAUUCCCUUGGGGUGCUUCAGUGUGGGUGAGCAGCUCAUUCAAGGAGCACUCAUCAAUGCCCCAGGUACAGUUUUGUUGAUUCAGGUUGUAAGAAAAUCAAAUUUUCCCUACUUUGUGACUCAAGUUUGUGAUAUGGAGUGCAAAAAAAAAGGAUGGUUUAUUUUGAAAGCACCCUAAGGUUUUUCAAAAGAAGAAAGAAAACUACCAUUCUUUUUUACAAUUGAAAUCAGAGAUGUUUAAUAUUAUGGGAACUCAGCACAUCCCUCCGGAUGUCCAGAGUUGCCGAGAACCCCGUCAGGGGGCUCAGAGACCCUGGCAUACUGCCCAGAACGCCUGCUGGCUUGAUUUUGAUCCUUCCAAUGAAUUGCCAGCUUGGCAUGGGGAUGUGAAAGCCACAUAGGUUUGAAUGGUAUAAUAAUAAAGUAUUCACAGGGUGAAAAUACAGAUUUUAGGAUUUUUGGUAUAGGGGUUAUGGGGACAAGAUAGAGGAAAAAGGCCGUGUCUAGUCCUUCUUUCUUCUUCUUGUUCUCCAUUUUCUGCUGUGAUGCUGGCACUUGGGGAUUGGUUUAGAACAGAAGUACACUGUCUAACAUAGGUGAUAGCUAUUGGGAAUUAAGAGUAAAUAUGAUAUACGUAGUUUGUAGUAUAAAAAGACAACACCACCUCAGGGGAGGUCAGAGUGCCUGUGGCUGCCGUGCUG